CAGAACAAUGCCAUUAUUUCUGCAUUGACUUUCUGAACACUUUUUUGGACCAUCCUUCCAAAAGAGUCCUUCUGGGGCAGGGUCUGCCUUGUGAUGUCUCCCACGUGGCCUGGCAGCAUUGCUGCAGUGCAAACAGCCAAGGGAACGGGUAUUGCUCUACGAGGGGCAUCUGUAAAUGCCCUCAAACCAUUCAUUCGGUUGCGAGCAGUUUUUCUUCUCCGGAGACGUUGGUGGUAGAUUUUGUUUCAACUGAGCAAAAGGAGAGGACUUUUAAAAGCAGAGAGGACGCUCUCCCCAGGACUCCAGACAUUAGGAUUCCUGGGAAGCUUUGCAGAUUAAAGAAAACACGCGCUGGAAAUAAUAAACAACCUGAUUGCUGCUGUCGUGGCGUUACUCGAUACUGAGAAACUCUUUAUAUAUUGUAAGGGACAAUGAAG
ensembl:lncRNA